rnacentral:lncRNA from 12 species
GCUGUUUUAAUUCUCUUUAAUAGGGAAGUAUUGUAUUUUGUGGCAUGCAAGCUUUCAUUUGGAAACAGUUUUCUCCCUCUUCCUUUUUUCCCAUAAUUAUUCCAGAAAUGAUAAUGACCACAGACAUAGUGUGGUUUGUCUAGCACUUUACUUGUAUAUGUUUUAUAAUAAGGUAAUGCAUCGAGCACGCAGCCUGAAAGCUGACUUGUUGCCUUGCUGCCCUAAAAGCCUAUGAUUCACAGCAACGUUGUGUUGGAAGGUACCUUCCAAAACUGAUUUCAGACAACCUUCUGAGGCAGCAUAAGGGAUUAAUGAUCUACAACAAAAUAGUGAGAGCUUUGAUGAUAACCAAGCAAAUGUUUAAUUACCACAAAUAUUAAUGUCUUGCUAGAAAUCAAGUCAAAAGUAAAAAAAAAAAAAAAAAAAAAAAAAACUUUCUAACUACAGAUUCACAUGCACUGGAUAGCGAUAUAUCAUAGGAAAGGAUACAAUAUGCUGCCUGCUCUGUACACAGGAUGUGACACGAUCAUUGGAUUCAGAUGGAGUCCUUCUUUCAUAAUGUACAGACUUCCUAUUUAGGUUUGGGAUGAGGAAAGAUGUCCACAUCACUCUCUCACUAUAUAAAUUCUCCUCAGUUCCUCUCACAUUCAGAGGCUGGCAAUGGCAGAGUUUAAGCACAUUCAGGACUCCAGCAGCAGCUCACAGAACAACUUUUACUGUGUACUAAAUGAGGACAUUAACAAGAAACCAUCACACACAUGGAAAGUGCAGCACCAAUACAGUAAACUGACCGAGGUAGAGAAUGAAGUGGCCAAUCUGACUUCUUCUUUAGCUUUGCUUUCUUCAAACCAACAAGACACAUUGCAACACCAAUACAGUAAACUGACCGAGGUAGAGAAUGAAGUGGCCAAUCUAACUUCUUCUUUAGCUUUGCUUUCUUCAAACCAACAAGAAACAUAUGACAGAUUUAUGGAGAUGGUCGGUGAACUGAAAGCUGAUCUGAAUAGCAGAAUAACAAAUUUGACUCAGCAUAAACCUGUUCUGAGCUGUAAAGCUGGGUGGCAGCCUUUUCUUUCCAACUGCUAUGAAUUUUCCAGUAAUAAAGUGAGCUGGCAAACGGCACGUUUAUACUGCAAUGGACAAGGCACCCUGCUGCUCAUCCUGGGGAAUGACUCCAGGGAGUGGGUUAGUGAUACACAGACGCAAACAUUGUAUAGAAAUUAAAUAUAAUCUCAUGUAAUGUCUAUGUCAUUUGUUUCAUUCAGGAUUUUAUUGUGCAACACGCUGUUCUUUCAUCUGAAUC